rnacentral:rRNA from 1 species
CAGUCGCCGCGGUAAUACGAGGGGGGCAAGCGUUGUUCGGAAUUAUUGGGCGUAAAGGGUGCGUAGGCGGCUUGACAAGUCUUGUGUGAAAUCUAUGGGCUCAACCCAUAGUCUGCACGGGAAACUGUCGGGCUUGAGAAUGGGAGAGGUGAGUGGAAUUUCCGGUGUAGCGGUGAAAUGCGUAGAUAUCGGAAGGAACACCUGUGGCGAAAGCGGCUCACUGGACCAUUUCUGACGCUGAUGCACGAAAGCUAGGGGAGCAAACAGGAUUAGAUACCCGCGUAGUCCCUGUCUCUUAUAC